ACCAGAAUGGCCAAGUGGUUAAGGCAUUAGACUUAAGAUCCAAUAGACAUAUACCCAUGUGGGUUCAAACCCCACUUCUGGUA